UCACAUCUGCAUCUGCUGUACGGGUGUCUGUCGUGUACAAUUUGUAAACACAUGCAUGCAGCACUAAUUAUCAAACAAGCCAAUGGGGCAGGUGCUAUUACUGCCCCUAUCUUACGGAAGAGGAAACUGAAGCCCAAAGCAGUCAACCGCGCGGCUGGUAAGCGAGGCAGCGGUCACACCCAGACUCCCUUUUCUCCUUCGCGUCUCCUGCUUUUGCGUGCAGCGCUUUGUGGCUGAACCCAGGGGAGGUGACUGAGUUCUUGUCUCUCAUCAGCUCGCAGCUCUGCUUUGUCUGAAGCGGCCACAUCUUCUGCUUCAAACACGUUCUUCCCUUGGUUUCUGCGGUUUCUGGGUCACGGCGCCUCCUCCCACGAGCCACGGUGCUCAGGGCCCUUCCCCUUCGGCGGGGCUGGCCUGAGGUCCUGUCUGGCCUCUCUUCUGGAGCCUCUGCUCUGCUCCUGGCGGCUCCCAGGGCGGGCUCUUCUCUUUUCUGCCAUCCAUUCGUCACCCCGGCGGCCCGAGUGAUCUCUCCGGUGUGAGUGCCGAUCGCGGAGCCCGGAGCUCCCUUUGGAAUAAGGCCCAAGCCCUGAGCAUGGGUCUGAGGCCUCCUGCCGCCCACCCUCCGCCCCUCCGCCCUUCCACGCUCGCUGCAGUCUGCACCGCCAGCCUCCCGCCGGGUCCUGGACGGGUCCCUCGUUUCCCUCGUUUCCCUCGUUUCCGCUGCGCGUCUUUCGGCGCCUGCCUCCGCCCGGGUCCCAGGCUCUCUCCCAGCCCUCAGCUCCCCCGUGAGCUCUCCUCGAGUCCUGUCCCGGGCAGCGCAGAUCGGGGUGCCCCUCUGCCCCCAGGUACUCGUGGGCCUCGGCCCGGGGCUGGCCGGGGUGCCGGUCCACACCCGCCGGUCGCCCCCAGAGCCGUGCGCAAGGCCAGGCCGGGCUCGCCUCAGGCCUCCGCAGAAGGCGCGCAGCGCUAGCCGAGCGCAUGCGCCGUCACGUAGGCACUUCCGCCGCGGCGGGCGCUUGCGGUGACGUCACUGCCCGAUGUCCUCGGGCCUCUGGGUGUUCGCAGCGCGGAGCCCCUGCCCUCCUGGUCCGAUGCCUCCGUCGGGGCUCCCUGGCCCAGUUCCGUAUGACCUUCUGCGCAGUAGCUGCGGGAGCGGCUGCACUCCGGCUCGUCGCCGGCCUGGUUGUGUGUGUUUUCUCCAGAAGCGGAAACUGAGGCUGCGCGGGUCCUGCGCCGGGACCGGACUGCGCAUGAGUACACCGCCCCCCCCCCCCCCCACCCCCGCCCCCAAAGGUGCGCCCGGAACUGGUUCUGUGUCGACGGUACAACGCUGAGACUCGAGGCUCCGCAGAAACCGGAGACAUGACGGACUUCAUGCCCCGAGUGGGCUCCAUCUUCUGGAUGACGACUUCUUCGCGAAGGAAUUGGUACAAGAUUGGGAAGGAGCCACUCUCGGCUUUACAGAGUGAACACGUGUCCUGAGAAGACUCGGAAAGCAGAAAUACCGUAUUGUUGGAAGGAAGUAAACUGGAGGGAAAUGUUAUUAAGAAAAUCAUCAGGAAGAGAAAAUACAUUUACAGUCCUGUCCUGUAGAAAGUCUGCAGGGAAGGGGACCCGUGCAUUUCAACCCCGUGGCAUUCAUGGGUCAGCUGUACCUCUGUCUGUCUGUCUGCCUGUCCAUCUGAAAAAUCCUCAUGCUGCUUAUU